CGCGAAAACCUUAACCCACCUUUGACAUGUACGGAACCCUUUAGAGAUAGAGGGGUGCUCGAAAGAGAGCCGUAACACAGGUGCUGCAUGGCUGUCGUCAGCUCGUGUCGUGAGAUGUUGGGUUAAGUCCCGCAACGAGCGCAACCCUUGUCAUUAGUUGCUACAUUCAGUUGGGCACUCUAAUGAGACUGCCGGUGACAAGCCGGAGGAAGGUGGGGAUGACGUCAAGUCCUCAUGGCCCUUAUAGGUGGGGCUACACACGUCAUACGAUGGCUGGUACAAAGGGUUGCCAACCCGCGAGGGGGAGCCAAUCCCACAAAGCCAGUCGUAGUCCGGAUCGUAGUCUGCAACUCGACUACGUGAAGUCGGAAUCGCUAGUAAUCGUGGAUCAGAAUGUCACGGUGAAUACGUUCCCGGGUCUU
rnacentral:rRNA from 1 species